UACGGAGGGUGCAAGCGUUAAUCGGAAUUACUGGGCGUAAAGCGUGCGCAGGCGGUUUUGUAAGUCAGAUGUGAAAUCCCCGGGCUUAACCUGGGAACUGCGUUUGAAACUACAAGGCUAGAGUGUGACAGAGGGGGGUGGAAUUCCACGUGUAGCAGUGAAAUGCGUAGAGAUGUGGAGGAACACCGAUGGCGAAGGCAGCCCCCUGGGUUAACACUGACGCUCAGGCACGAAAGCGUGGGGAGCAA
rnacentral:rRNA from 1 species